AGAGUUUGAUCAUGGCUCAGGAUGAACGCUGGCGGCGUGCCUAAUACAUGCAAGUCGAGCGGUAAGGCCCCUUCGGGGGUACACGAGCGGCGGACGGCUGAGUAACACGUAGGAACGUACCCCAAAGUGAGGGAUAAGCACCAGAAAUGGUGUCUAAUACCGCAUGUGCUCUAAGGAGUAAAGCUCCGGCGCUUUGGGAACGGCCUGCGUAUGAUUAGUUUGUUGGUGAGGUAAUGGCUCACCAAGACUACGAUCAUUAGCUGGUCUGAGAGGAUGACCAGCCAGACUGGGACUGAGAACGGCCCAGACUCCUACGGGAGGCAGCAGUAGGGAAUUUUCCACAAUGGACGAAAGUCUGAUGGAGCAACGCCGCGUGCAGGAUGAAUGUCUUCGGAUUGUAAACUGCUUUUAUUUGUGACGAAUAUGACGGUAGCAAAUGAAUAAGGAUCGGCUAACUCCGUGCCAGCAGCCGCGGUCAUACGGAGGAUCCAAGCGUUAUCCGGAAUUACUGGGCGUAAAGAGUUGCGUAGGUGGCAUUGUAAGUUGGUAGUGAAAGCGUGGGGCUCAACCCCAUAAACAUUAUCAAAACUGCAAAGCUAGAGGAUGAGAGAGGUUAUUGGAAUUCCCUGUGUAGGAGUGAAAUCCGUAGAUAUAGGGAGGAACACCGAUGGCGUAGGCAGAUAACUGGCUCAUUCCUGACACUAAGGCACGAAAGCGUGGGGAGCAAACGGGAUUAGAUACCCUAGUAGUCC
rnacentral:rRNA from 1 species